CCGCAUCAUCAGGUAAUUUGUUGAGCGAGGAAGAGAAAGCAGGACCAUGUGGAGUUGGCAUGUUGGCUUUGUUUCCGCUGAUGUGAUGCUUCUCCUCGCUGGACAAAAAUCAAAGGCAGCGGAUGUGUUGGGCUAGCAAUCAGAGCACUUGAAGAAUGGUCAUAGUAACACCCAAUCAGAAGCGAAAGAAGAGAAGUCUUACCGUGGAUACCAAGAGAAGAUGAAACAACCAAUGGGCACCAGGAGAUAGGAGAGAAGCCUCAAAUGCCAGUGAAGAUCACACAUGUAAAGUGAACAGGUUCGCUAGAGAACACCAUCUUGUUGUAGAACGAAGAGGAAUGGCUCGGUGGCAGAUGGAGAGCCGGAGCAGAUCGAGGUAGUCUGACGGCCAGCUUGAGCCCAUCCCAUGUGCAAUGUUGCUUCCUGCCUCGCCAUUCUCCAUCAAGUAGAUGCUACAGAUGAACCGGCAGCAAUGGAUGUAUGUUGACCGACGCCUACCCGAGUUCACUUCGGGCCUGGAAGAUUUUGUCUGUGUGGCUACGGAAAACCCACAUGCGGAUGGUUUUGUAUGUUGUCCAUGUGUUGGUUGCCGGAACUUAAAGCAAUACCGUGAAUGCCAAGUCAUUCACUCCCACCUGCUGUGGAAAGGUUUCAUGCCCAGCUAUAAUUGUUGGACCAAGCAUGGAGAAAGAGGGGUUAUGAUGGAAGACAAUGAAGAAGAAGAGGAUGAUGAUAUGUAUCCUAACUACGGUGAUACUGCAACGGGGCAUGUUGAAGAUGAAGAGGCAGGGGGAGCUGAAGAUGAAGAGGCAUCAUAUGAGCCCAUUGAUGAUGAUCUUCGUCGGGCCAUUGCUGAUGCACACAGAGAAGCAGAAACUGAAAACGAGAAGCGAAAGUUAAAGGGCAUGUUAGAGGAUCACAAAAAAAAGUUGUACCCAAAUUGCGAAGAUGGCAACACAAAGCUCGGUACCACACUGGAGUUGCUGCAAUGGAAGGCAGAGGCUGGUAUAUGUGACAAGCUAUUUGAGAAGUUAUUGAAAAUAAUGAAGAAGAGGCUUCCAAAGGAUAACGAAUUGCCUGAUAGUACGUAGGAAGCAAAGAAGGUUCUCUCCCCUCUAGGAUUAGAGGUGCUGAAGAUACAUGCAUGCAUUAAUGACUGCAUCCUCUACCGCGCUGAGUACGAAAAUUUGGAAAAAUGCCCGGUAUGCACUGCACUGCGGUAUAAGAUCAGGCGAGAUGACCCUGGUGAUGUUGAGGGCGAACCCCCAGGAAGAGGGUUCCCGCCAAGGUUAUGUGGUAUGCUCCUAUAAUACCACGGUUGAAACGUCUGUUCAGAAAUAAAGAGCAUGCCAGGUUGUUGCGAUGGCACAAAGAAGAUCGUAAGAAAGACGAGAUGUUGAGACACCCCGCUGAUGGGUCGCAGUGGAGGAAAAUCGAUAGAGAGUUCCCAGACUUUGCAGGUGACGCGAGGAACUUAAGGUUUGAUCUAAGUACAGAUGGCAUGAAUCCUUUUGGGGAGCAGAUCUGCAGUCAUAGCACCUGGCCUUUAACUCUAUGUAUCCAUAACCUUCCGCCUUGGUUGUGCAUGAAGCGGAAGUUCAUUAUGAUGCCAGUGCUCAUCCAAGGCCCAAAGCAACCCGGCAACGAUAUUGAUGUGUACCUAAGGCCAUUAUUUGAAGAACUCUUACAGUUGUGGGCCAAACCAAGUGUACAUGCGUCGGAUGAGCCAAAACAGGAGUCAUUUGACAUACGAGCGUUGCUUUUCUUGACCAUCAAUGAUUGUCCUACUCUUAGUAACCUUUCAGGACAGACAAACAAGUGAUACAAUGCAUGCACGCACUGUUUAGAUGAGACCGAAGGUGCAUAUUUGAAUAAAUGUAAGAAGGUUGUGUACCUGGGGCAUCGUCGAUUUCUUCCAAAGAGGCACCCCGUCAGAAAGAAAGGCAGUCAUUUCGGAGGUGAGGCAGAUCACCGGGAGAAGACUGAACUCCGUACCAGUGAUGCUUUACUUGAUAUGGCCAAGGACAUAAAAGUAAUCUUUGGAAAGGGUCCUGGCAGUCGAUCUGUUCCGAAUGACCUCGCUACCUGAUGGCGUGUAACUCACACGUUCGUUGGGAACCCCAACAGGAAGGUAUGAUGCGCACAGCAGCAAGUUUUCCCUCAGAAAGAAACCAAGGUUUAUCGAACCAGGAAGAGCCAAGAAGCACGUUGAAGGUUGAUGGCGGCGGGAUGUAGUGCGGCGCAACACCAGGGAUUCCGGCGCCAACGUGGAACCUGCACAACACAACCAAAGUACUU